rnacentral:lncRNA from 1 species
AGAUAAACAAAUAAUCCAAAGUUAUAGUUAAAAAGUAUAGAUGCAGAUCCAACUUCAUUUUCUAGAAUAAACAAUAAGAAAGGUAUAGGAUGUUAGAAACACUUUAACAAAUAUGAGUUCAUUCCAGUAAACUCCACCAAACUAAUAAGUGGGAGUUAAAAAUACUAUACAAACAAUAUUUAAGUAAAACACUCCCAAACUAAUAAAACUCUUCCUACUAACUUCUGGAAUAUAUGAAAAACUUUAAUAAAAAAGAUUGUGUGGCUAAAAGAUUUACUUAAAAGAAAGUGAAAAAAAGAUUUUUAAAUUUUGUUAAAUUAUGCGGCUAAAAUCUCAUCUUUAUUACAAAAUCAUUAACUUCAAUAUUUCAGAUUCAAAAAUAAAAAGUUGAGUAAAAUAUUGACUUUGAUUAAAAAUUGCGUAUUAGGUAUGAUAAUCAUUUAAAGACCAAUUUUCCUAACAACCUCUUCAUCUUUAAAUAACUUUUUGAAAUAUGCUUCAUGUUCACAAAAUAAAAUUAACAGAUUAAGAUAACAAAAUAAAACAAAUAAUGAUUUACAAGAGAUAGAGAAGAAGAAGCCAACUGAGUAUUGAUUUACCUUGCUUAGACCUUG